rnacentral:lncRNA from 1 species
UAUAUAUAUAUAUAUUUUUUUUUUCCUAUUAAUGCAUUAUUGUACAUACUUUUAUUAUCUUGUGCAUUACCAGUAGCAUAUCAAAAUGUACACAUUUCUUCAUCCGUGUGUUCCGCGUGUACUUUUUUUUUUUUUUUUUUUUUUUUUCUGUUUUGACUUUUAUGCAUCUUUUGAAAAUGAUGGAUACAUUUCAAGCAUUGACGUUUUAAAUAACAUAAUUGCUACUACCAACACUAAGAACAUUAUAAAAAUAUACGACAUGAAUGAAAAAAAAGAAAAAGUAAGUUUUAAUGUUAAAGAUGUGGUAAUUAAUUAUAUUAAGCUAAUAAAAAGUAACACAAAUAAAAACGAUUCUAAUAGCGUAUACGAAGUAAAGGAAUGCUUAUUUUGUGCAUAUGAAAAUAAGAAAAAUUGUAAAAUUUAUCAUUUUAAUAUACUUGAUAAACUAGUAAUACAUAUAUUUAAUUUUGAUAAUGAAAUUGUUAAUAACAGUUUCACGUUACACCCAGAUACACAUAUAUUUAUUGUUACGUUAAAAAGUAAAGAGCUUUUAAUAUAUAAUAUUAAAAAUAAAAUAAAUAUUUAUAAAGUAAAUGUACAGACUGAAAGUUGUAUAGUUAAUUAUAAUAAAACGGGUAUUAUAUAUGCUUAUACAUUUAAUGAUAAUAUGAUUUAUUUAUGUAGUUGUUUUGGGGAUGAUUAUAAUGAUGACCAUUUUGCAGAUUUUGAUAUUUCAAAAAUAACAAAAAAUGACAACAUAUGUAUACAUAUUGAUUUUUCUUUUAAUGAAAAAAAAAUGCUUAUAGCAACAAAAUUUAAUAAUAUUUAUACAUUGGAUGCAUACACAGGGGACAUAUUAUACUCAUACAACUUUUUAUAUGAAAACAUACCCUCUUUACAAUUAAAUUCCUUUUUAUCAUACCCGACAUAUUCUUUUGAUUCGAAUUAUGUAUUAUCUGGUGGAAAAGAUGGUUACUUACAUAUUUGGGAUAUACAAGGAAAUUUUAUAUGCAAAAAAAAAAUUGAUAAUAAUGUUUUAUUUAUUAAAUGGGUAUAU